AUGAACGCUGGCGGCGUGCCUAAUACAUGCAAGUCGAGCGGACGAAGGGAGAGCUUUCUUGGAUGCUGUUACGGACGGACGGGUAAUUACUAGGUGGAUGACUUGCCUAUAAGACUAAGAUCACGUCGCGAACCCGAAGAUAACACAGGACCAUAGUUUGAAAGUGAUGGAUCAACAGUGCACAACCGAUUUGCUGAGACUUAUACGUGGUUCCUCGCUGCAUUAGCUAGUUGGUAAGGUAACGGCUUACCAAGGCAACGAUGCAUAGCCGACCUGAGAGGGUGAUCGGCCACACUGGAACUGAGACACGGUCCAGACUCCUACGGGAGGCAGCAGUAGGGAAUCUUGCGCAAUGGGCGAAAGCCUGAUGGAGCAACGCCGCGUGAGUGAUGAAGGUCUUCGGAUCGUAAAGCUCUUUUAGUAGGGAAGAAGAGAUGUGAAAGUAACUGUGGACAUUUUGACGUUACCUACUCAGAAAGCCACGGCUAACUACGUG
rnacentral:rRNA from 1 species